UCCGGUUGAUCCCGCCGGACCCUACUGCUAUCGGGGUGGGACUAAGACAUGCAAGUCGUGCGUCUCUAAGCCAUGGUAGAGACGCGGCGUACGGCUCAGUAACACGUGGCUAACCUACCCUUAGGACGGGGACAACCCCGGGAAACUGGGGCCUAUCCCCGACAGGUGAGGAGGCCUGGAAUGGUUCUUCGCUGAAAAGGCGUUGAAACCAUGCUUUUCAACGUCGCCUAAGGAUGGGGUCGCGCCCGAUCAGGUUGUUGGUGAGGUAACGGCUCACCAAGCCUAUAACCGGUACGGGCCGUGAGAGCGGGAGCCCGGAGAUGGGCACUGAGACAAGGGCCCAGGCCCUACGGGGCGCAGCAGUCGCGAAAACUCCGCAAUGCGCGAAAGCGUGACGGGGCUACCCCGAGUGCCGUCCGCUGAGGAUGGCUUUUCCUUGGUGUAAUGAGCCGGGGGAAUAAGGAGAGGGCAAGUCUGGUGUCAGCCGCCGCGGUAAUACCAGCUCUCCGAGUAGUAGGGACGAUUAUUGGGCUUAAAGCGUCCGUAGCCGGCUUGGCAAGUCUCCUGUUAAAUUCAGCGACCUAAUCGUUGAGCCGCGGGAGAUACUACUAGGCUAGGAGGCGGGAGAGGCCGACGGUAUUCCCGGGGUAGGGGUGAAAUCCUAUAAUCCCGGGAGGACCACCAGUGGCGAAGGCCGUCGGCUAGAACGCGCUCGACGGUGAGGGACGAAAGCUGGGGGAGCGAACCGGAUUAGAUAUCCGGGUAGUCCCAGCUGUAAACGAUGCGGGCUAGGUGUUGAGGUGGCUACGAGCCACUUCAGUGCCGCAGGGAAGCCAUUAAGCCCGCCGCCUGGGGAGUACGGCCGCAAGGCUGAAACUUAAAGGAAUUGGCGGGGGAGCACCACAAGGCAUGAAGCUUGCGGUUCAAUUGGAGUCAACGCCGGA
rnacentral:rRNA from 1 species